UAAGGUAAGGAGGUGAUCCAACCGCAGGUUCCCCUACGGUUACCUUGUUACGACUUCACCCCAGUCAUGAAUCACAAAGUGGUAAGCGCCCUCCCGAAGGUUAAGCUACCUACUUCUUUUGCAACCCACUCCCAUGGUGUGACGGGCGGUGUGUACAAGGCCCGGGAACGUAUUCACCGUAGCAUUCUGAUCUACGAUUACUAGCGAUUCCGACUUCAUGGAGUCGAGUUGCAGACUCCAAUCCGGACUACGACAUACUUUAUGAGGUCCGCUUGCUCUCGCGAGGUCGCUUCUCUUUGUAUAUGCCAUUGUAGCACGUGUGUAGCCCUGGUCGUAAGGGCCAUGAUGACUUGACGUCAUCCCCACCUUCCUCCAGUUUAUCACUGGCAGUCUCCUUUGAGUUCCCGGCCGGACCGCUGGCAACAAAGGAUAAGGGUUGCGCUCGUUGCGGGACUUAACCCAACAUUUCACAACACGAGCUGACGACAGCCAUGCAGCACCUGUCUCACAGUUCCCGAAGGCACCAAUCCAUCUCUGGAAAGUUCUGUGGAUGUCAAGACCAGGUAAGGUUCUUCGCGUUGCAUCGAAUUAAACCACAUGCUCCACCGCUUGUGCGGGCCCCCGUCAAUUCAUUUGAGUUUUAACCUUGCGGCCGUACUCCCCAGGCGGUCGAUUUAACGCGUUAGCUCCGGAAGCCACGCCUCAAGGGCACAACCUCCAAAUCGACAUCGUUUACGGCGUGGACUACCAGGGUAUCUAAUCCUGUUUGCUCCCCACGCUUUCGCACCUGAGCGUCAGUCUUUGUCCAGGGGGCCGCCUUCGCCACCGGUAUUCCUCCAGAUCUCUACGCAUUUCACCGCUACACCUGGAAUUCUACCCCCCUCUACAAGACUCUAGCCUGCCAGUUUCGAAUGCAGUUCCCAGGUUGAGCCCGGGGAUUUCACAUCCGACUUGACAGACCGCCUGCGUGCGCUUUACGCCCAGUAAUUCCGAUUAACGCUUGCACCCUCCGUAUUACCGCGGCUGCUGGCACGGAGUUAGCCGGUGCUUCUUCUGCGGGUAACGUCAAUCGAUGAGGUUAUUAACCUCACCGCCUUCCUCCCCGCUGAAAGUGCUUUACAACCCGAAGGCCUUCUUCACACACGCGGCAUGGCUGCAUCAGGCUUGCGCCCAUUGUGCAAUAUUCCCCACUGCUGCCUCCCGUAGGAGUCUGGACCGUGUCUCAGUUCCAGUGUGGCUGGUCAUCCUCUCAGACCAGCUAGGGAUCGUCGCCUAGGUGAGCCGUUACCCCACCUACUAGCUAAUCCCAUCUGGGCACAUCUGAUGGCAUGAGGCCCGAAGGUCCCCCACUUUGGUCUUGCGACAUUAUGCGGUAUUAGCUACCGUUUCCAGUAGUUAUCCCCCUCCAUCAGGCAGUUUCCCAGACAUUACUCACCCGUCCGCCGCUCGUCACCCGAGAGCAAGCUCUCUGUGCUACCGCUCGACUUGCAUGUGUUAGGCCUGCCGCCAGCGUUCAAUCUGAGCCAUGAUCAAACUCUUCAAUU
rnacentral:rRNA from 1 species